CUUUCUCACUGUCUAUGCUAUUGAAUAGAGAGCAAUCACCGCAUGCUCCCACCAUGUUUGCUCCCACCAUGUUUUCUCCCUCCAUGUUUGCUCCCUCCAUGUUUGCUCCCUCCAUGUUUGCUCCCUCCAUGUUUGCUCCCACCAUGUUUGCUCCCACCAUGUUUGCUCCCACAUCUACAGUCCAAGAGGUUGAGAUUAUAUUGACCUAUUUAAGCUCUCAUUACAAAUAUUUCAGAUGAUUCAGGGACCUUCAGUACGGUUUGCACUUAUCCAUAAUUGGUAGCAAUAGGUCAUUUGUAGCUGUGACAUCUGUAUUUAUUUAUCAAAUCUCCUAUUUUCUCCACUUCAUGGGUGUCACUGACAUGUGAGGGAAUUUCAUGCAAAACCUUCUGAUUUCAUAUUUCUCCAACGUCCACAAUCUGCAACACAUAACCACUCAGUGGUAUCCUACAGCUCUGUUGGAAGGAAGGUUGUAACUCCAGGUGAAGUGUGUGUGUGUGUGUGUGUGUGUGUGUGUGUGUGUGUGUCAUUAUCUGGACGAGACACAUAACUGAAGAUGUGUGUGUGCUUAGUGUACUCUUAUGUGUGCAGGAGUGAAUAGUUGCUAUGUAAAAGCUUGUCUAGGGCUGGCUUCACUAAGCUGGAAUUCUGGAGGUGCAGUGUGUGGAGUCAUAGUUUAGUGGAUUUGACCCCUGUGGUUUAUGAGUAAAGUGGGGAUUUGAGGGUGGUUGGUGUGUAGGGCCUCUUUUGUGGUUUGUGUCCAUUAGCUCUUGUGACUUGACUGCAAUGGAGAGAGCUGAACACAAGCCCUGUGGCCGCACCAGAUCUGCCAUCAACAAAGCCACAUUUUCAGGCCAUAUGUAUGAAAUAUAUUGUAAUUAACUUCCAAAGCCCUAAUGACUUCAGUGUCAACAGAAUUAAGAAUUUAUUAAGAAAAUCUUUCGUUUUUGAAUACCCUUGUUUACUCCUGAUGUGCAUGUAGUCGUGUGAGAUUACCCUGUUGAUGUACCAAGUUUCUAGUCUUGUCUAGUUUUAAAGAUGCCCUGAUGUGAUGUGUGUGAGCUUGCAUAGAUAUGGGUAGGCUGGCAUGAAAUCUGGACAGUGUGUCCUUUCAUCCCAAUAACACUGCCCUCCCCCUCCUUUCUGCUCUCCUCUACCCCACAGAGUAGUGGCGCUGUGAAUAAUGGAGAAUUGUGUCCUAUUCAUCUCUAGGGGUCAGAGAGUCGAGCCACUAUUUGGGCUAGCUAUCCAUCAACCCCCUCCACUUUGUAGCGUGUGACAAGGCUAUCGGCACUGGUGGCCUACUCAGAAGGAGAUAGUGGCCCCCAGUAAUGUCACCCUGACUUAUUGAUGAAAGGAGCUGGAAU
ensembl:lncRNA